rnacentral:rRNA from 1 species
CUAAGAAUAUUCCGCAAUGGACGGAAGUCUGACGGAGCGACGCCGCGUGGAUGACGAAGGCCGAAAGGUUGUAAAGUUCUUUUGCUGGGGAAGAAUAACCGCAGGAGGGAAUGCCUGUGGGAUGACAAGAACCGGCGAAUAAGCCCCGGCCAACUACGUGCCAGCAGCCGCGGUAACACGUAGGGGGCGAGCGUUGUUCGGAAUUACUGGGCGUAAAGGGCAUGUAGGCGGCUUGGAAAGCCUGGCGUGAAAGUCUGCAGCUUAACUGCAGGGGUGCGCUGGGAACUGCUGAGCUUGAGUGACGGAGAGGGAGCUGGAAUUCCUGGUGUAGGGGUGAAAUCUGUAGAUAUCAGGAAGAACACCGAUGGCGAAGGCAAGCUCCUGGCCGAUGACUGACGCUGAGGUGCGAAAGUGUGGGGAUCAAACAGGAUUAGAUACCCUGGUAGUCCACACAGUCAACGAUGUGCACUAGGUGCUGGGGCGGUAGCUUCGGUGCCGGAGCGAACGUGGUGAAGUGCACCGCCUGGGGAGUAUGCUCGCAAGGGUGAAACUUAAAUGAAUUGACGGGGUCAUAGCUAUUUCCU